AUUGAACGCUGGCGGCAGGCCUAACACAUGCACGUCGAGCGGAGCGGCGGACGGGUGAGUAAUGCCUAGGAAUCUGCCUGGUAGUGGGGGAUAACGUCCGGAAACGGGCGCUAAUACCGCAUACUAUCAGAUGAGCCGAGGUCGGAUUAGCUAGUUGGUGGGGUAAAGGCCUACCAAGGCGACGAUCCGUAACGGGUCUGAGAGGAGGAUCAGUCACACUGGAACUGAGACACGGUCCAGACUCCGACGGGAGGAAGCAGUGGGGAAUAUUGGACAAUGGGCGAAAGCCUGAUGCAGCCAUGCCGCGUGUGUGAAGAAGGUAUGCGGGUUGUAAAGCACUUUAAGUUGGGAGGCGUUACCAACAGAAUGAGCACCGGCUAACUUCGUGCCAGCAGCCGCGGUAAUUC
rnacentral:rRNA from 1 species